UUUUUGCUUUCUACUAAUUUUACUCUAAUAUAUAGUUAGUGUUUAAGGUAGUAAAUUCAACUAAAUGUAAGUUGAUUAGUGGAGAUUGACUAAGAGUAACUCUCUAAGUUAAUUAUCUUAAUUAACUAAUUUUGGAGGCGUUACAUCUUCGCUGUGACAUUGCAAGAGAAUUAUAAAAUUUGGUUUUUCCGAUGUUUGAAGUUGAGUAAGUUAUGCCUAGACGGAUGAUAGAGCUGAGUUGGUGCCAUGUUGGAAAUGAUAGGUUUAAUUGGAAUGAUUUUAAUUAAUAUUAUUUGGAAUUAAUGCAUCCCCUUCAUGUUUAAGGUGGUGCAUUUGGAGAAAAAUGAAUGCUCAAAGUUUCAAUUAUUGCGAGAAGACAGGUUCAAAUUUAGAACUAUUUUUUUUCUUCUUAAAUUCCUUUUUGAGUGGAUCUCUAUCAAUGUCCUUUUCAAUAUCUCUAAUUUUGUAAAAUUUUGUGCACUUUUUUUUUUUUGUUAUUGAUCUUACUAGGUAUUUUUCUCAGUCUGCGUCAUGUGUACGUAGAUUGCGUUUUUUAAUGAAUUUUGCUUACUUAUAAAAAUUUAAAAAAAGAAAGGAUUUGGCUCUCCCUUUGUAACAAGUGCUGCAUCCCCUGCGAUCACAAGUGUUGGGUCGAUACCUUUCGUUGGUUGUUAAGAAAGUACUUCAAAGGUAAGUAAUUCUCUUGUUUAAUUUGCCUUGUUUUCAAAUUGAUAUUGUUUGCGGCUUCUGCGUACGUAUGCCAUCUGGUGCAUGAGAGAAACUCUCGUAUCUUUCGUGGCAAGUCUAGGGAUGCUGUUCAUAUUCACUUUGACAUGCAUGCAUAUAUAUCCUCUUCUUGGUGAAAACGCCCUAAUAGAUGCUUAAUUGGUAAGGUGUAGCUUGUAAUUUAAUGUCAUUAGGUCUUGUAAUUUAAUUUGUUUUUCUUAAUAAAGCUUAUUCAUUUGAAAAGAAAUUAAAUAAAUAAUACUUUAUAUACUGAGCGCCUAUUAUACCACUUGUUUUAAUAUUAUUAUUAUUACUAUUACUACUAAUUUUUAUUAUUAGUUUAUUAAUGUUGUUGUUGUUGUUAUUGUUAAUGGAAAAGACGCUUGACCACUUGACUGACCAUUGCGUUGUAUUUCGUUGAAUCAUUUUCGCAUAGAGACAAGAAUUACGAUCGAGUUUGGAACUAGUAAGAGUGUACCGGAAGAUAUUUGAAGUGGAAGUCCUUUAAAGUUUCUCAUUCUAUUUAUAUCCUCUCAUCUUCUUUAACCAAAUUAACCAGGAGAUGAAGAAGAAGAAGAAAAUAGAGGAACGGAGCUGAGUAUAUAAGAGUGGUCUUGUCGUGCACCACCAGCGGUUGAAGCUGCCAGCAUGAUCUGACGUCCUUUCCUCAGCACCCUAUAUAUAUAUAUAUAUAUAUCCUGGAAAGAAUAGAUCAUGUUGCAGUUUCACCUGCUGUUGGAAGCACGAGAAAACCAUAAAUUUCCAUAUUCUGAUACAUUUUCAAGCAAUCCAUUAGGGUUAAUUUCUUUCAGUUAGAUCCAAGAGAAAGGUAUGAUCAUGAUCUUCUUCCAUUUGACUUUUUCUCAUACAAUAUUAAUUAAUUCCAUGAUUUAGUACUAGAUCUCUCUACCAUUUUACGUGUGAACAAUUCUUUUGCUGUAUUUCUUGAUAUUAUAUAUAUAUAUAUAUGAAUUUUGUGUUAGGGUUUUUAGUGACAGUUUUUUAUAGAGUAUAAUUGUCCUUGCUUAAAAUUAUGUUGCAUAAACAUUCCAUUGUACGUACGCAUAUGUUCGAUCUGUUUCAUGCAUAUUUAUAUACUUCUUUUGUCAUGAAUUAGGAUUGAAUCCUCACUCACAUUAUCCAUGAGGAAUUAAGAAAUUAAUAAAAAUAUAUUUUGCACGACUUAAAUCUAUUGUCUCUCUCUCUCUCUCUCUAUUUUGUAUCUCUUGAUUUGCAAAUAAAUCUGUGUUCUCUCUCAACAAAAAGUUAAUAUUGAUAGGAAAUCUUAGUGAUACUCACUUUAUUUUUUUUUAGAAUGUUAGGAGAUUUCAAUCUGAGAUUUCCCCGAGAAUAGCUCGUAUAUAUGCUUCUGUGUUGGAGUCAUUUCAUCGGUAGAGGUAG
rnacentral:precursor_RNA from 1 species